rnacentral:rRNA from 1 species
UACGAACCGUGCGAGCGUUGUUCGGAUUUACUGGGCUUAAAGGGUGCGUAGGCGGGUUGGUAAGUCAGUGGUGAAAUCCCCGAGCUUAACUUGGGAACUGCCAUUGAUACUAUCAGUCUUGAAUACCGUGGAGGUCAGCGGAAUAUGUCAUGUAGCGGUGAAAUGCUUAGAUAUGACAUAGAACACCAAUGGCGAAGGCAGCUGGCUGCGCGGAUAUUGACACUGAGGCACGAAAGCGUGGGGAUCAAACAGG